GAAUCAAAAAUGCACGGAAACAAUGCCACAGUUAGCUACGUCUGUCUUCUAACAGCUGCUAAUUGCCAGUAUUUCAUUUUUAAAUCGAAAUACCAGUUUCCCAGAACAAAAAUGACUGGAUUUUAGGAAGUUCGCGGUUGGUGUCUCUCUCAAAGAGGGAGGAUAGACCGGGAAUGUCGAAGAAAGGCUACAAGU
rnacentral:snoRNA from 1 species